rnacentral:rRNA from 1 species
AGAGCAACUAACCAGGAUUCCCCCAGUAACGGCGAGCGAAGAGGGAAGUGCUCGAGCCGGCAAUCUCUGGCGUACUGCGCCAGCGAAUUGUGGCCUGGUGAGGCGGAUGCACCCGACGCGCCUCCGCCGAAGUUGACCUGGAAAGGCACGUCGGAGAGGGUGAUAACCCCGUUUGGGGCGGAGGCGCCGAGGGCCGCUGCCGUCGUCGGAGAGUCGGGUUGUUUGGGAUUGCAGCCCAAAGUGGGUGGUAAACUCCACCUAAAGCCGAACAGCGGCACGAGACCGAUAGCGAACAAGUACCGUGAGGGAAAGGUGAAAAGCACUUUGGAAAGAGAGUUAAAGAGACCGCGAAACCGUUAGGAGGGAAAACGCGUGGAGCCGAACGGGUCUCCGUCGGGUUCACGGGGCCGCGUCGUCGGUUUCGCCUCCGUCGCUCCUCUCCGGGGGGCGCGUCGGGCGGCGUGGCGUCUUCGCUCCCCUGCACUCUCGACGUCGGGGCCGGCCAAGUGCGGUGGUGUCCCGGGCGAAGAGGGCGGUCGGGUAGGUGGUGCAGCCGGUCCGUUUACGCGGCCGGAGGCGAGCUUAUAGCCGUCCGUUCGGCGUCGCCCUGGGGCCAUCGAGGAGAGCCGUGGCUCCGUCACCCACACAGCGCAGGCCCCUCUCGCGAGGGGCCGGGGCGCUUCUGUCCGUUCAGCCUCCGUGCCGAGAGACUGCCCGCGGUGUCCGGCGUCGGUGCGCGAGUCCGGGCGGGAGGUCGUCCCACGCCCUGCGCUUCGGCGGCUUGGCCAG